UCAUUUUAACGAUAAAUUUACCGGCUACAUACGUUUCAUAGCAAGUGGAACCUCAGAAGUAAUAAAUAUCGAGUGAGGUGUAUACCGCAGGCAACUC